CAUUGAAACACCGAAUUCCUGUUAUGAUCACUGAAGUGAAGCAAUGUCGAGUCUGGUCUAUACCUAGAUGGGUGACCACUUGGGAAUACCAAGUGCUGUAAG